rnacentral:rRNA from 1 species
UACGGGGGGGAGCAAGCGUUGUUCGGAUUUACUGGGCGUAAAGGGCGCGUAGGCGGCUCGUGACAAGUCACUUGUGAAAUCUCCGGGCUUAACUCGGAACGGUCAAGUGAUACUGUCGUGCUAGAGUACAGAAGGGGCAACUGGAAUUCUCGGUGUAGCGGUGAAAUGCGUAGAUAUCGAGAGGAACACCUGCGGCGAAGGCGGGUUGCUGGGCUGAUACUGACGCUGAGGCGCGAAAGCUAGGGGAGCGAACGGG